rnacentral:rRNA from 1 species
GCGGUAAUACGGGGGGUCCGAGCGUUAAUCGGAAUUACUGGGCGUAAAGGGUCUGUAGGUGGUUUGUUAAGUCAGAUGUGAAAGCCCAGGGCUCAACCUUGGAACUGCAUUUGAUACUGGCAAACUAGAGUAUGGUAGAGGAAUGGGGAAUUUCUGGUGUAGCGGUGAAAUGCGUAGAGAUCAGAAGGAACACCAAUGGCGAAGGCAACAUUCUGGACCAAUACUGACACUGAGGGACGAAAGCGUGGGGAUCAAACAGGAUUAGAUACCCUGGUAGUCCACGCUGUAAACGAUGAGUACUAGCUGUUGGAUUCGGUGUAAAGGAUCUAGUGGCGUAGCUAACGCGUUAAGUACUCCGCCUGGGGACUACGGCCGCAAGGCUAAAACUCAAAGGAAUUGACGGGGACCCGCACAAGCGGUGGAGCAUGUGGUUUAAUUCGAUGCAACGCGAAGAACCUUACCUGGUCUUGACAUCCUGCGAACUUUCUAGAGAUAGAUUGGUGCCUUCGGGAACGCAGUGACAGGUGCUGCACGGCUGUCGUCAGCUCGUGUUGUGAAAUGUUGGGUUAAGUCCCGCAACGAGCGCAACCCCUAUUGAUAGUUACCAUCAUUAAGUUGGGUACUCUAUUGAGACUGCCGCUGACAAGGCGGAGGAAGGUGGGGACGACGUCAAGUCAUCAUGGCCCUUACGACCAGGGCUACACACGUGCUACAAUGGGUAUUACAGAGGGCAGCGAAGUAGCGAUAUGGAGCGAAACUCAGAAAGGUACUCUUAGUCCGGAUUGCAGUCUGCAACUCGACUGCAUGAAGUCGGAAUCGCUAGUAAUCGCAGGUCAGAAUACUGCGGUGAAUACGUUCCCGGGUCUUGUACACACCGCCCGUCACACCAUGGGAGUGGGUUGCUCCAGAAGUAGAUAGCUUAACGAAUGGGCG